rnacentral:misc_RNA from 1 species
UUGGAAUCUGGUGGCAGUAAGUUAAUGCUUCACAUUAACCUUUAAGUCUGGGCCUAUUUAGAUUUUUGAAAAAUGAAAAGUUAAAUGAUGAACAAGAAAGGAAGGGUAGGAAAACUUAAGCUUCUCUUACAAUGGAUGUUCCUCCACAAAGGAAUGAUAGGUUUAAUCUGCAGAUAGCACAAAUACCUUUCUGACACAGCUGUCAUUGCAUCAACUGAUAUUGGGCACUGGUGUUUUUUGUGUUAAGUUUUGAUACAAGAUCUUUCUUUGGAAGUUUGUGUCCUCAUUUGUGCAGCAUAAUCUAUAAACAUAAAUUUAUUUGAUGCUGGAUAAGUUUAACUUUGAACCCAUUAAUGAGCUUCAUCAUUUUUG